rnacentral:lncRNA from 1 species
UUUUUUUUUUGCCUGUCCACAUUUGGUGUGUUUAUUAGCCCACAUUUUGAAGCAGUUCAUGACCAGCAUUGUGCUUUGGGUUUUUGGUCUUGUUUUUGGUUUACAAUGAAUGAAAGCAUCUCUUUAAAAGGCACGUUUUUGGUUAAAUAGGCAGGAAAGUUCCCCCACCUUCCUCUUCCCCUCUUUGGAGAGAGAGCAUCCCCUUUGCAGUCCUGUACUGCACCCUAGAAGCAUUCAGCAAAGCAGCCCUUAGUCUCCCCAACCCCUUUCCCUCCUCCCCAGCACUUGGGAUGAGGACCUCACAGCUCACUUGCUCUUCAGAUCCUUCAAGGCUGACUCCAAGCUCUUCACAUCCCAGAUGCUCAUGCCACCGUCCAUGCCUGUGGUGCAGAACUGCGAGCACUUGGCCUUGCCCCCGCUGAGCACCGAGAUUUGACUGACGCUGUUCUUGUGCAGUGAAUCCAGGCCAGCCCCUGUGGCUGCACCCCCUUCAGUGCUGCCCUUCUUGUCGAGGUUCUGGAAGCGCUCUUGGGCUGUCAGGCCACGCUGGGAGUUCUGCUUGGGUACAUCCAGCCGGCCACCAAAGCUCAAUGUCCCUGCAGCGUUGUCAUAGGUAAACAGCACCGGGAAGCAGUCGUGGCCUGCCGCUACGAGACUAUUUUCUGUGAUGAAGGUGAUGGCCAGGAGCGGUACAUGUCUCAGAGGCCAGGGUUGCCACCGCCAUCUUUUCUCAGUAUCUACCAGGCACACAGUGCUGUCAUGGCUGACCCAAGCAACUCGGCUCCCACUGGCCAAGAAGCAGACACAAUGCACCCAGCCACAGCUGCUGCUCGAUUCAAACAUCAGCUCCCCAAAGGGCAUCUUGGAGCCCCAUGGUGUAGGGGCGGCCAUUUCUCCACCUCCUUGAUAUAGGCAGAGAAGAUCCUGCAGUUGAAGUCACAGGAGCCUGCAGCCAGGAGCACGUUGUUGGGAUGCCAGUCCGGGCUAAGGACAGUGGAGCGGAUGGGCUUUUUGAUGUGUUUGCACACCCACCAGUCAUUCUCCUGCUCAAAAUAACAGAUGGAAAUGACACGGGAACCACUGACCAUGGCGAACUUGUUCUCACUGGGGGCCCAGCGCACGCAGCGGGCAGCUCGAUUAUUCCGAAGGAUGACCAGUGUGGGCUUCCACGUGCGGCCCUUCAGCGUCCAUACAUAGGCAUUGCGGUCUGUGCCGCAGGUCACAAUGCGGUUACUCUCAGGGGCCCAGUCGAUGCCUGUCACCUGCCCAUUGUGCUCCUUGAGUUCGUGCACCUUGUUCCACUUGGCACUGCUCUUCUCAUAGAUGUGCACCUCGUGGUUGUUGGGGCAGAUGGCGAUCUGAGUACGGUCCUUGUUCCAAGCAUGGCAGCUGAUGGGCUCCACCAGGAAGCUGUGGUAGGUCAUAGUCCCUUGUCUCCUGGACCUCGGGUCUCCUCGGCCGCAGUCUCUGGACAGUCGACGCGCCGAACCGACUCUGAGACCCGCGCA